AUUGAACGCUGGCGGCAUGCCUUACACAUGCAAGUCGAACGGCAGCACGGGUGCUUGCACCUGGUGGCGAGUGGCGAACGGGUGAGUAAUACAUCGGAACAUGUCCUGUAGUGGGGGAUAGCCCGGCGAAAGCCGGAUUAAUACCGCAUACGAUCUACGGAUGAAAGCGGGGGGCCUUCGGGCCUCGCGCUAUAGGGUUGGCCGAUGGCUGAUUAGCUAGUUGGUGGGGUAAAGGCCUACCAGGGCGACGAUCAGUAGCUGGUCUGAGAGGACGACCAGCCACACUGGGACUGAGACACGGCCCAGACUCCUACGGGAGGCAGCAGUGGGUAAUUUUGGAAAAUGGGCGAAAGCCUGAUCCAGCAAUGCCGCGUGUGUGAAGAAGGCCUUCGGGUUGUAAAGCACUUUUGUCCGGAAAGAAAUCCUUGGCCCUAAUACGGUCGGGGGAUGCCGGUACCGGAAGAAUAAGCACCGGCUAACUACGU
rnacentral:rRNA from 1 species